UACGUAGGUGGCAAGCGUUGUCCGGAAUUAUUGGGCGUAAAGCGCGCGCAGGCGGUUCCUUAAGUCUGAUGUGAAAGCCCACGGCUCAACCGUGGAGGGUCAUUGGAAACUGGGGAACUUGAGUGCAGGAGAGAAGAGUGGAAUUCCACGUGUAGCGGUGAAAUGCGUAGAUAUCGAGAGGAACACCGGUGGCGAAGGCGGCGCUCUGGACCGAGACUGACGCUGAGGCGCGAAAGCGUGGGGAGCAAACAGG
rnacentral:rRNA from 1 species